UGUCGGGACAGUUGUAGGACACGGGAAUUUAGCUGGAACGGUUUUUGUGGAAUGGGAUACUGGAAUUCGUAGUCAAUAUAGUCAUGGACAAGGAGGUAUAUACAAUAUUGUUGCUUGCGAUGAACCCAGAAUACCUGAAGACGGGUUUCCAGCAGUUGGAUGUUAUGUAAAGCGAGGUCCAGACUGGAAAUGGGAAGAUCAAGAUGGCGGAAUAGGAUCAAUUGGGUCUGUUUACAGAAUAAAAGACGAUGCAACUGUUUACGUGCGUUGGCCUUGUGGGAGGAGAAGCAAUUAUAGAUUUGGAUACGACGGAAAAUUCGACAUUGAAUGAUCCUUUUUCUACAGCGGUUAUAAUGGCUGUAAGAGGGACGCAGUGUUCAGAUUCCGAUGAAAAGAGAUGUAAUGAUUUGAAGGGGAAAAACAGCGUGGAAGAAACUGGAACAAAAGAUUCGAAGUUAAGAGGAUCAACUCAAAACUCGAAAUUACCAUCAGAUUUCAGAAAACUGAAGGGAACUGAAGCCAAUUCAACCGGAACUUCAUACAUGGAUAAGUCAAGUAUACUUAAACAAAACUCGUGUGGUAGAAGAAAAAGCGUGACAAAUGUUAGAGCGGAAGACCAUUUUACCGAAACUGAUGAUAAUGACAUUCAGACAGACUCUGUUUCUGAACAACCACGUGACUUCUCACCAAAAGGUAUUUUCGUUAAUGGGACCGAUACCUCAAAGUCCGAUCUUAAAGCUGCACCUGAUCAUUCUGGUUUUUGUUUGGAUGUUGACGAAGCUUUAGAUAAUCCAGACGAAUUUCUUAAUGUAUUAUCGCCGAAAGGAAAAUGUAUUCCCUUGGAAAGAAAGUCCACAGUUUUUGACAACAAUGUGACGUCUUGUUCUCAACAUGACGCCGUGCACUUGUUACACGGUGAUUUUCAAAAGACCGCAGAAGAAAGGUCGACAGAUGAUACAGUAUUUCGUUCUGUACAUUCACGACAUUGUUCAGAUGAUAUCAAUCACAGCUGGCAGUGGUUGGAUGGCAAUGGUACAUGGAUUGAUUAUCCAGAAAGCGUUAACAGCCAAAUUAACCGGAGGCUUCUGCAACGCCCUACAGCUUCAGUUGUGGUUGAAUACAACGAACAAAUUUUUAGGAUAGUAGCAUCAAAGAUGAUACAGAUCAACACAGAAUCCAAGGAGAAACACGAAAUCAGAAGGAAAAUUCAGAUGAUUUAAAAGAGUGUUGAGAGAAGGACACAGGAGAGGUGGACAUUAUUCAAAGCCACGAAAUAUAUAAUGGAGUGUGAAGAGAAGCCAUCGAUCAAAAUCAUUUUCAUUUUAUGAACAAUGUUGAUAUGAUAAGAGAGGGAAAAAGAAUAUACAUACAUGUACAACGAAAUAAAACAAUUGAACUGUUGUGAGUGAAAUACAAAAAUUUGUGAUAAUGCGAUUUUUACGAGAAGUAAAAACUACAUUAUGACAUUUUACAAAGUGCCUGUUUCUGCAAUUUUGAAGAAAUUAUUGAAAAAUUACGUUUACUUCUAACAAUAUUUU
rnacentral:misc_RNA from 1 species